UGCUUCGUCCCCGUGAUGACCAACAUGGGGAAAAUGGCGAGAGAAGGGGGGUCACGUAACCUGGGGAAAAUCACACUCAAGAGGCCACAAUUCGCCUUCACAAUGUUGUCACCCACUCUGCCUUCAGCCUCUCAAGGGCCACCAGGGAACAGAGCUCAGAGACUGGAUCUCUGAGUCUCAGCGGGAACUCAGGCCGACCCUGAGGGUUAUUAGAGCCGGGUAAGGGUUUCAACUGAGGAAGAGCUUGUGAACGGCCAGAGCUGUUUCCCACAGAAGCGGCAGCUUGUGGGGAGCGCACGUCACUUCCUGGUGAACACCUGGGCUGGGUGAUGCCACCCUGGCUUCAGAGGAAACUCCUGUUUUAGGAGGAAAGGAAAAGGACAAGGCCUUGAAAGGCUGCUGUGAUACUGAGGCAGUGAUCCUCAGAAUAGGACAGGGACAAUGAAAUGGAGAGCGUGCCUCUCGGGCUGCAAGCCGCCCAUGCACGCAUCUGAGAGCAUCCUCAUGGCUCUCCAGGAGUCUGUUCUCUUCGUCAACCUGUUCAAUUGUCUGGAUCUGCUGGUUUCUCUCUGACUGUCUCUCUGACCAUCUCUUGGUCUCCUGGCCUAUCUUUCCUAGCCUGACGGCUUUUCCAGGUUUUCUCUGCUUCCCCAUUUCCUCCUCUCUGGCUCUCCAUCUUCAGGUCUCAGUCUUGUCUUUUCCAGUCCAUCUUGCUCACCCUUCUCCUCUCUCCUCCCUUUCCUAGUCUGGGCCCAUCUCACUUCAUUGGUCUGAUUCUCUCCCACUCUGAUUCUAUUUUUUAAUCUGAUUUUCUCUCCAACUAUCUUCCUCCACCUGACUUUCUCAUUUUCUGACUCUCCAUUUUUGUCUCUCCCCAGUUCUUCCUCCUCCAUCACUGUCUCUUCCUCCAUCCUGAUGAUCUCUCCAUCUCUCUCCACUUCUCCAUCGGAUAUUCCGCCUCCCAAUUGGCGGAGGCUUUCACAAUAGCUAACGCUCACUGGUGUAUCAGGUACUAUACCAAAUCACUCAUAUAUAUGCACAUGCACACUUACACACGCACACUUUUCUCACAACCCUAAGAAGAUGCUGUUACAGCUAUUUCACUGAGCCACAGAGAGGUCAAGCAGGUAGUAAGUGGCAGGUGAGGAAGUCAAGCCCAGGGAUUCAGGUUUUGCUCCUCUUUCUCCAUUUUCCCCUGAUUCUCCAUCGCCUGGCUUUAUCCCUCCAUGUUUGAGUUCGACACUGUCUAUCCGCUCUCCCUCCAUCUCUCCGGCUGCACUGUCUCUUCAUCUCUCUCCAUACUGAGGAUUCCUCCAUUCUUCCUGCCUUGACCCCCGCUUCCCCAUCCAUCUCGCUCCUUCUCAUCUCCGCUUUCCUCUCCAAGUCUCCCUUGGCCGGCUCCUCCCGUCUCUCGAUCCCUCUCGUGGCAGCUCUGCCAGGUUCUCCCUAUGGCGCUGUCUCCACCCUUCCAGCCGCGGCUCGCUCCUCAGCUCCCCAGACCCGCUCCGACGCCGGCCGCCGCCACAGCCGCCCCGCUCAGCCGCCCCGCCUCCCUCACCUCACUAGCCGCCACCGAAGCCUCCACUUCCGGUCCCCAGCGCCCCUCGCGCGCCGGAAGCCGGUCCUGCGCCUGCGCACGCCACCCUGGCUCCGCCCCCCCGCAGACAGAGGAGCCAGUGGGCAGCUGCGGGCGCCCAAGACCCACUCUGCGCCUGCGCACAGCGCGCCCUGGCCCCCGCCUCCGGUGAUGCUGCGCCCUCUAGGGGCUGCGGUGGAUACUUGCAAGCGCCUCCUCCCGGCCCG
ensembl:lncRNA